rnacentral:lncRNA from 1 species
AAAUAAUAGUCUAGAAUCAUUAUAUAAAAAGACAUGAAGGCCUGCAGAUUACAUAUAGACGUGAUAGAUACAAGUAACUAUCACAUUCUCGCUCUAAAAAAGAAUACAUGUAUUCACCCGUGAUAAUAACUACAGUAUAGUAGUUAAUAACAAAAGAUAAAGUCGUAUGUGCGCGCGGCAGCUGAUCAAUAUAUGCGUUCAAGCCAUGAGACCGGCCGCCAGGAGGGCGACGAGGCCAAAUCCUGCUGUGGCACCGACGGAGGUAGCGGCGUUGGAGGGCGGCGCCGGGGGAGAGUUGCUCGCGCCAGGACCUGCAGCUGGCAUGGGUGACGACGGCGAGGAGGAGCCCGAGGCGACGUCGAUCACGACCUUCAUGCUGGCGGCGGCGGCGGGGCUGCAAUGGUUAGGGACGCCACAGAUGAAGUAGCGGGUGCCGGUGGCGUUGAGGGAGAUGACGUCGUUGCCGGAGGUUAAGGUGUUGAUGGCGCCGUCGGUGCUGCAGGAGUCGUAGCCGGCCUUGCUGACCUCGACCACGUCGUGCGUCGGGGUCGAGUACUUGAAGACGAUGUCAUCACCCACGUUGAACUUCUUGCCGGACACCCAGUUGCUGUAGUCGGUGCUGAGGGCCCAACCGCCCUGAUCGCCGACGUUGUAGGUUACCGCUGACGCGCUGCCUAGUAAGACGGCCAUCGCGGCCACGGCGAGGAGGGUGAUCUUCAUGGCGGCCAUUGAUUGCGGCUGGAGCUGGAAGGAGGAAUGCAGAGCAGAGGAGGUAGAAGGGAGGUGCUGCACUGCUGCUGAUGCUUAGCGGGGGUUUG